rnacentral:rRNA from 2 species
GGAUGCGAUCAUACCAGCACUAAAGCACCAGAUCCCAUCAGAACUCCGAAGUUAAGCGUGCUUGGGCGAGAGUAGUACUAGGAUGGGUGACCUCCUGGGAAUUCAUCGUGUUGCAUUUC